AAUCAACGCUGGCGGCGUGCCUCAGACAUGCAAGUCGAACGCUGCUGUUCGCCUUCGGGUGGACAGCGGAGUGGCGCACGGGCGAGUAACACGUAGGUAAUCUACCUUUGGGUGGGGAAUAACAGCCGGAAACGGCUGCUAAUACCGCAUAAUGCAGCGGCAUCACAUGAUGACAGUUGUUAAAGCGAGGGAUCGUAAGACCUCGCGCCUGAAGAGGAGCCUGCGGCAGAUUAGGUAGUUGGUGAGGUAAUGGCUCACCAAGCCUGCGAUCUGUAACCGGCCUGAGAGGGCGGUCGGUCACACUGACACUGACAU
rnacentral:rRNA from 1 species